AGUCGUUCUGCCCAUUGAUUUUAAAAGGCUGCGGUAUAUUAACUGUACAAAGGUAGCAAAAUAAAUAGUUUUUUAAUUGAAAACUUGAAUGAAAGAGUUGAUAAAAUAUAAAUUGUCUCAAGAAAUAAAUUUAAAUAAAAAGUUAAAAUGCUUUUAUUUUUUUAUUAGACGAUAAGACCCUAAGAAUUUUAUAUUUAUUUUCGUGAGUAAAUAAUUAAUUAAAUAUAAAUAUUUUAUUGGGAGGAUAAUUAAAAAAAACUUUAAUUUUUAGUAACAAUCAUAGAUGAAUUUAAUGAUUAUUAUUAUAAUUAUAAGAAUAAAUUACCUUAGGGAUAACAGCGUAAUAAUUUUGGAGAGUUCAUAUUGAUAAAAUUGAUUGCGACCUCGAUGUUGAAUUAAAAUAAAAAUUAAAUGGAGAAAUUUAAAUUUUUAGUCUGUUCGACUAUUAAAAUUUUAC
rnacentral:rRNA from 1 species